rnacentral:rRNA from 1 species
GCUCACGCUGGCGGCAGGCCUCACCCCUGCAAGUCGCACGCACCUUUCGGGGUUAGUGGCGGACGGGUGAGUAACACGUGGGAACGUGCCUUUAGGUUCGGAAUAACUCAGGGAAACUUGUGCUAAUACCGAAUGUGCCCUUCGGGGGAAAGAUUUAUCGCCUUUAGAGCGGCCCGCGUCUGAUUAGCUAGUUGGUUGAGGUAAUGGCGCACCAAGGCGACGAUCAGUAGCUGGUCUGAGAGGAUGAUCAGCCACAUUGGGACUGAGACACGGCCCAAACUCCUACGGGAGGCAGCAGUGGGGAAUCUUGCGCAAUGGGCGAAAGCCUGACGCAGCCAUGCCGCGUGAAUGAUGAAGGUCUUAGGAUUGUAAAAUUCUUUCACCGGGGACGAUAAUGACGGUACCCGGAGAAGAAGCCCCGGCUAACUUCGUG